rnacentral:rRNA from 1 species
AACGGCCGUACCAUGCUGAAUAUACCGGUUCUCGUUAGAUCACCGAAGUUAAGCAUCAUUGGGCGCGGUCAGUACUUGGGUGGGUGACCACCAGGGAACACCGCGUGCCGUU